rnacentral:rRNA from 1 species
CAGGCCUAACACAUGCAAGUCGAACGGUGGCAGCAAUGUCAUAGUGGCGCACGGGUGCGUAACACGUAGCUAACCUACCCAGAACUGGGGGAUAGCCCGCCGAAAGGCGGAUUAACACCGCAUAACAUCUACUGGUGGCAUCACUAGUUGAUUAAAUCUACGGAGGUUCUGGAUGGGGCUGCGGGUCAUUAGCUAGUUGGUAAGGUAACGGCUUACCAAGGCGACGAUGACUAGGGGAGCUGAGAGGCUGGUCCCCCACACGGGCACUGAGAUACGGGCCCGACUCCUACGGGAGGCAGCAGUAGGGAAUAUUGGGCAAUGGGCGAGGGCCUGACCCAGCCAUGCCGCGUGCAGGAAGAAGGCUUUCUGAGUCGUAAACUGCUUUUGAUAGGGAAGAAUAAGCACGACGUGUCGUGUGACGACGGUACCUACAGAAUAAGCACCGGCUAACUCCGUGCCAGCAGCCGCGGUAAU